rnacentral:rRNA from 1 species
AGUGAACGCUGGCGGCAGGCCUAACACAUGCAAGUCGAACGGCAGCACAGUAAGAGCUUGCUCUUACGGGUGGCGAGUGGCGGACGGGUGAGGAAUACAUCGGAAUCUACUUUUUCGUGGGGGAUAACGUAGGGAAACUUACGCUAAUACCGCAUACGACCUACGGGUGAAAGCAGUGGAUCUUCGCACCUUGCGCGAUUGAAUGAGCCGAUGUCGGAUUAGCUAGUUGGCGGGGUAAAGGCCCACCAAGGCGACGAUCCGUAGCUGGUCUGAGAGGAUGAUCGGCCACACUGGAACUGAGACACGGUCCAGACUCCUACGGGAGGCAGCAGUGGGGAAUAUUGGACAAUGGGCGCAAGCCUGAUCCAGCCAUACCGCGUGGGUGAAGAAGGCCUUCGGGUUGUAAAGCCCUUUUGUUGGGAAAGAAAAGCAGCAGGUUAAUACCCCGCUGUUCUGACGGUACCCAAAGAAUAAGCACCGGCUAACUUCGUG